rnacentral:rRNA from 1 species
GAUCAUGGCUCAGGACGAACGCUGGCGGCGUGCUUAACACAUGCAAGUCGAACGCUGAAGCCUGGCUUUGUUGGGUGGAUGAGUGGCGAACGGGUGAGUAACACGUGAGUAACCUGCCCCCUUCUUUGGGAUAACGCCCGGAAACGGGUGCUAAUACUGGAUAUUCACUGGUCUUCGCAUGGGGGUUGGUGGAAAGGGUUUUCUGGUGGGGGAUGGGCUCGCGGCCUAUCAGCUUGUUGGUGGGGUGAUGGCCU